rnacentral:pre_miRNA from 1 species
UCUUAUGGAUGAGCUAGGAAGUGGUUUCUUGAGAUGGCAUCUGCUCCUGGUGAAGAUGUUGUGAA